UGUGCUUAACCCACUGUGAGACUGCCCGACUCCCUUGUCUUCUCUUUUUAAAGGUUAUUCCUUUAUGCAUGCAUGCAUUCAUUUUCUUUUGUUAAGACAGACACAGAGAGAGUGUGAAAGAGACAUCACUAUUGAAACUUCUUCAAUGUGGUGGGGACUGGGCUCCAACCUGAGUUGUGCACACAUGGCAAAAUAGUUCACUUUCUUUCUUUUCUUUCUUUCUUUCUUUUUUUUUUUUUAAAGAUUUUAUUUAUUUAUGAGAAAGGUAGGAGGAGAGAGAAAGAACCAGACAUCACUCUGGCACAUGUGCUGCCGGGGAUCAAACUCGGGACCUCAUGCUUGAGAGUCCAAAGCUUUACCACUGUGCCACUUCCCGGACCACAAUAGUCCAUUUUCCUUUCUUUUCUUUUUUUAAUAUGUAUUUAUUUACUUUCCCUUUUUGUUGCCUUUGUUUUUUUAUUGUUGUAGUAGUUAUUGUUGUUAUUGAUGUCUUCGUUGUUAGAUAGGACAGAGAGAAAUGGAGAGAGGAGGGGAAGACAGAGAGGGGGAGAGAAAGAGAGACACCUGCAGACCUGCCACUUGUGAAGCCACUCCCCUGCAGGUGGGGAGCCGGGGGCUCGAACCGGGAUCCUUAACGCCAGUCCUUGCACUUUGCGCCACGUGCGCUUAACCCACUGUGCUACCGCCCGACUCCCAACAGUCCAUUUUCUAAGUGAAUCAUCUCACUGGCCCCAUUCAUUUUUUAAAAUAUAUUUAUUUAUUUUUCAUUUUUUGUUAUCCUUAUCAUUGUUAUGGUUAUUUUUAUUAUUGUUAUUGAUGUUGUUGCCAGAUAGGACAGAGAAAAUGGAGAGAGGAGGGGAAGACAGAGAGGGGGAGAGAAAGACACCUGCAGACCUGCUUCACUGCUUGUGAAGCGACUCCCCUACAGAUACAGAGUGAGAUACAGGGAAAGAAGAGAGAUCAAAGCAUUUGUCCACCAUUCAUGAAGCUUCCCCUUUGUAUGUGGUAUUGGAGGAUUUGAACCUGUCUUCAUAUAUGUUAAAGUAUGUGCUAUAAGAAGGAGGAGGAAGAGGAGAAGAAGAAGGAAGAAUUAACUAGUUAGAGGGUUAGGAGGCAGCUCGUCCAGUACUUUGCUAUGUGUAAGGAACCCUGGUGCAAGCUGCUUCAUGAGUGAUAUUAUAAAUAAGUAGAAAAUAAAAUAAAUAAUGGGCAGAGUCUGCUGGGAACAGUGGAAUCACAGAUAUAGAAAAAAAAUUAGGGAAGUGGGUGAUGAUAUAUUCUAGUUCAGGAAACAGCAUGCACAAAGAUUGUGUGAGAAAAAAUAGCAUAUUUAGGGAACUUUCCAUUAUGGCUAGAAAGCAGCAAUCAGUGGGAGAAAGUCUGGUUUUGAUGAAUUCUUUCCCCAAAUGCUCUCAUAUUUACCUUUUACCCAUCCUUCAUCUUGGCUCACAAAGAUUACAAUGAUGAAAAUGUUAUGUAUGUACAAACUAUUAAAACAUUAAUCCCCCAUAAAGAAAUUAAAAGAAGAUUACAGUGAUGAUACAA